UGAGGAAUAUUGGACAAUGUGCGCAAGCCUGAUCCAGCCAUGCCGCGUGCAGGAAGAAGCCUCUAUGGUGUGUAAACUGCUUUUGUACGGGAAGAAACACUCCUUCGUGAAGGAGCUUGACGGUACCGUAAGAAUAAGGAUCGGCUAACUCCGCGCCAGCAGCCGCGGUAAUACGGAGGAUCCAAGCGUUAUCCGGAAUCAUUGGGUGUAAAGGGUCCGUAGGCGGUUUAGUAUUACAGUGGUUAAAGCCCAUCGCUCAACGAUGGAACGGUCAUUGAUACUGCUAGAGUUGAGUUAUUAGGAAGUAACUAGAAUGUGUAGUGUAGCGGUGAAAUACUUAGAUAUUACAUGGAAUACCUAUUGCGAAGGCAGGUUACUACUAAUGGAUUGACGCUGAUGGACGAAAGCGUGGGGAGCGAACA
rnacentral:rRNA from 1 species